UACGAAGGGGGCUAGCGUUGUUCGGAAUUACUGGGCGUAAAGCGCGUGUAGGCGGGUCUUUAAGUCAGGGGUGAAAUGCCAAGGCUCAACCUUGGAACUGCCUUUGAUACUGGAGAUCUUGAGUCCGGGAGAGGUGAGUGGAAUUGCGAGUGUAGAGGUGAAAUUCGUAGAUAUUCGCAAGAACACCAGUGGCGAAGGCGGCUCACUGGCCCGGAACUGACGCUCAUGCACGAAAGCGUGGGGAGCAAACAGG
rnacentral:rRNA from 1 species